CACAUUUUACCUUUCAAGGUGAUUAACAGGUUGCUCAAGGAGGAAUUGGUGUUGCUAUGAAGAAGAUGAUGCUUCCUCAGAUCCUCAGUGGUGCCUACGCUCUUUGCCUGGAAAGCCAGUUGAGUCAAACAGUUUUUGCAGGGAACCUGUGACUGCUAUGUCUUAGAAUGUGAGACUGAAGAAAACUGUAGAAAUUUAUGUGCAGGAUUCAGGACCAAAACUAAUAGAAGAAGCUUAAAGCAGAGAUGUAGCUGAAUCUGUGUUUCCC
rnacentral:lncRNA from 1 species